rnacentral:lncRNA from 1 species
AGGGUUCACACUUGAGAUUUCAUACAGUUUCGCAAAUGAAAAAUGUAAAAUAAACUUCUUUUGCAUAUCCCAUCCAGAGACAUAUAAGCUACAUAGUAUAAGAUUAACUCUUGUGCGUAGGAAAUACUUUGUUUUUAACUAUGAUAUUCUUUUCAUUUUGUUCUUUUUUUGAUCGAUUUGGUGGUUUUACAUCUUACAAAGUUUAUCCAAAUUAAUUUUUGCAAAAAAUUCCGCUAAAGCCGGUGCUAAGGUCCGUGUUAAGCCUACAUUUUUUUGUACAGUGAGGUGAGAGUUUUUUGUUCCGUGUUGAAGGCCUCACUGUGACUUCAUAAUGAAGAACAGCAAUAAAAACGUUGUUCCUUUGCUUUUUGUGUUUAUUUUGUUGUGCAUAUACUGAAUUUUUGACAUGGAUAGAUACCCCAUAUUCAAUGUUUUUCUAUUAUAGUAGUAUAUAUGUCUCUGUUCCAUCUUAUCACAAUAAUAAAAAUAGCAUACGCUGAAAAAAUACAUACCUAGAAGAGAUAUAAUAACUAGCAAAAGUCUUGAUAAAAAUGUGAACAAAAACAUGUUUAGAAUAUUCACGAUGGUCAGCAA